rnacentral:tRNA from 1 species
AGCAGUGUGGCUCAGUGGAAAGAGCAUGGAUUUAGGAGUCAGAGGGUCAUGGGUUCUAAUCCCAUCUCCACCA